AAUUAUAGCUGAAUUUCACUAAUUAUGUAAUGACUGAUACCCCCACAAACAUAAACAAGACAACAAGUGCAGUUUUAUUUAUCUUAGUGGUUUCCCAUUGCUCAUCUGCAGUCCCAGAUAAAAGCUUCUCUCCUAGAAAAUAAAGAAUAGAAACAAAUGUUGGGCUCCAUGUGUAAUAUUUUACCACUACCAGUUCUUCAUGUUUCUAGCACAAAUCCUAGGCACAGAUGAGGUUCCCAUAAUUCAGAGUUGAAAAAAAGACAAUGUACAAAUCUCUGGCUGGCUGUAUAAAGCAGCCUCUAAUCAGGAUCCCAGCUUCUUGCUUCAUGAGAACACAGGUUCUUCUCACUCCUUUUUCACAUUAGUGUUUCUUCCAUGUCCAGCAUAAGCCCAGAUAACCACUCCCGACGAGACACACAGACAGCAGCAGAAGGAAAGCAAAAAAUGUCCUAUCGAUUUGAGUCUCCCGCACUUCUGCUUCUUCCUCACUCAGCUCUCUGUACCAUGUGAUCACUGCAGUCACGUGACUGCUGUGAUGUCAGAGUGUCCUUUAGAGGGAUAGAAUCUAGCCGCUACCCUUAAUUGACUGACUGCUAUGUCUGUGAUUCAUGUUCAGAGCAGUCCACCCAUGCGGCAUGUUCCCAUGGGGAGAAUUUCCUGCAAGAGAUUGUGUCACUGACAACAGCAGGUGUGAAGUCUGCCAAACACCGGAUUCGAUUGACAGGGCUCCAUUUAAGAAGGGCCGGACAGAUAGAGGCAGAACUCUCCGCCUGGCAUCAUGGAUAGCGGGCAGCAAUACGCUGUCCACAUUUACCAUUGUACAAUCUGCUGCGUGUGCUCGCGAGCCUAGAAGGAGGCAUCCGGGAGGAUUGAGAAAUGCCACUUUAAAGUUUGUGUAGCUGUUUAAGAAGCAGUAGUCUUAACUUUUGGUACAAGCGAGCCUGGAGCUGAAGGCACUCCAAAGCUACAUUCACAGUUUCAUAAAUGGAGCCCUUAGGGUAAAAUAUGAUAAUAUAAGACCAUUCUUAUAAAAAAAUGUAAUUAAUAAAACAUUAUGCACUAAAAUGAACUUUGGAAUUUAGACAAACUAUCUUUGUCUAGCUAUAAGAGUAUACCACUUGCUGGGGGAUGGACAAAUAUUGGAUUUUGCAUUUAUGAAUCUGAGCAUUGAAUAAAGCAGUACAUUUGAAGAUGA